AUUGAACGCUGGCGGAAUGCUUUACACAUGCAAGUCGAACGGUAGAGGGGGCAACCCCUUGAGAGUGGCGAACGGGUGAGUAAUAUAUCGGAACGUGCCCAGUCGUGGGGAUAACGUAGCGAAAGUUACGCUAAUACCGCAUACGAUCUAAGGAUGAAAGCGGGGGAUCGCAAGACCUCGCGCGAUUGGAGCGGCCGAUAUCAGAUUAGGUAGUUGGUGAGGUAAAGGCUCACCAAGCAACGAUCUGUAGCUGGUCCGAGAGGACGACCAGCCACACUGGAACUGAGACACGGUCCAGACUCCUAC
rnacentral:rRNA from 1 species